UACGUAGGGUGCGAGCGUUGUCCGGAAUUAUUGGGCGUAAAGGGCGCGUAGGCGGCUUUGCAAGUGAGGGGUGAAAUCCCCCGGCUUAACCGGGGAACUGCCUGUCAGACUGCAUGGCUUGAGACCAGGAGAGGUGAGUGGAAUUCCCAGUGUAGCGGUGAAAUGCGUAGAUAUUGGGAGGAACACCAGUGGCGAAGGCGGCUCACUGGACUGGUACUGACGCUGAGGCGCGAAAGCGUGGGGAGCAAACAGG
rnacentral:rRNA from 1 species